AUUGAAACACUGAUUACCAUCUGAUUACUGAAGUUAAGCAAUAUUGAGCCUGAUUAGUAUCUAGAUGGGUGAACAACUGGGAACAUCAUGUGCUAU